CGUCAACUCACAAGCUUUUGUAUAUUAUUUAUAUAUUAUAUGCAUAGUAAAUUUUUAAAAGUAUCAGGUUCUGCUUUAACUAUUUCUAUCGCACGCGAGAGAAACUGGACCGAGAAAAAAAGUCUGUAACAUAUAAACCAGAUUAAUCUUAGGACGAAGACCGGUUGCAACGUCUUUCCUCAGGCUCAACACCUUUUCGCGCCAAUAUAUUCAAACACGUGCAUUAUUAUCGCCUCGCGGCUAUUCAACUAUUUUUU